GGGGUUGUAGGUCAGUGGUAGAGUGCUUGCCUAAGCAUGUGUGAGGCACUGAGUUCAAUUCUCAGCACCACA
rnacentral:tRNA from 1 species